rnacentral:rRNA from 1 species
GCUCGAGUGGCGAACGGGUGAGUAACACGUGAGUAACCUGCUCUUGACUUUGGGAUAACUUCAGGAAACUGGGGCUAAUACCGGAUAGGAGCUCCUGCUGCAUGGUGGGGGUUGGAAAGUUUCGGCGGUUGGGGAUGGACUCGCGGCUUAUCAGCUUGUUGGUGGGGUAAUGGCCUACCAAGGCGGCGACGGGUAGCCGGCCUGAGAGGGUGGACGGCCACAUUGGGACUGAGAUACGGCCCAG